rfam:Brachypodium distachyon strain Bd21 chromosome 3, whole genome shotgun sequence.
CUUCUCUUUUCAAUUGUGUAGUCCUCUUUCUUGUGAUGAUUGUGGGAUGUGUAAAACUGGUGCAUAGAUGAAAUGCUCCUUCUAGAGCAGUGGCGGCCAGACAACCGUUGAGAUAGAUCCACAGAUGAACAGUCUUUCUAGUGUUUGUCUACUAAUUAUAUCUCAAAUGC